GCCCGGGUGGUGAAAUUGGUAGACACGCCAUCUUGAGGGGGUGGUGCUGGCAACAGCGUGCUGGUUCGAGUCCAGUCCCGGGCA
rnacentral:tRNA from 2 species